rnacentral:lncRNA from 1 species
AAAGAAAAAGAAAGAGAAAGAAAGAGAUGCACUAGAGGACAUUAGGAAAGGUAGAUUUGGGGAUGACAAUAAAACAAAAUUCACUGCAACAAUGUAAUAUCCUGGAAAACAUAAAUACGGUGUUGGUAGAACUGAAGAAGGAAGGGUUCAAGAGAGGGUGAGACAACUUGUCAGAAAAAAGGAAACUGGAAAUGAGCCAAUGGCAGUAUCCUGUCACCUAAACGGCAGUGAAAUCUCAGCUUUUCGUAAGACAGAGGGUGACCGUGUCCUGGAUCCACGUCCUUGGUCACUGGGGUCACACAUGUAAGCUGGGCCGUCUUGUUUAUUAGUGGUUUGCUUAGCCUGGGACCAGCCUCCCAAUUUAUCCUUAGAAUGGAGCUGCAGCAGUUCCCAGGGCCUCAGCAGGCCGAUGACCAAGCUGCAGAGAAACUCUGCCUGGAGACAUGCGUUGGAGCGGGCGGGGUAGAAGAGCCAUCGGCACACUGGCCAUUCUCUGCCACGUGGUAGGCCACGCCUGGCAAGCUGCUGUCUAUCUCGGAAGCUCACAUUUUCUCAUCUCUAAAGCAAAGGGGUGGGACUGGAACGUCUUGAAGAUAGUUUCUAGCUUGAAACUUCUAUCUCAACUCCAAACCUCUUACUAUGAAAAUUCUGGUGGCUAUAUUUUGCUCUGAGAGAAGCAUAGCAUUGACUGAUAAGCAAAAUGUGGGCCAGUGAAGCAUCCAAGCAUGCACAGAGCAGGGAGAGGAAAAUAGAUGAUAUGCUAAUUUUUUCUUUCCCUUUCCUUACCCUUUACACAGAAAUGGUACUAGUGGCGACAUUCUUAGGGAGCAGGAGCUGGCCAGUAGGCCUGGGAUUCUAGAUUAUCCCUGCAUUUGGGGAGUGGUUCCUCAUAAGCCAAUGGGUGAAAGGGCCUUUCCAGAAAGUCCUUAUUCUCCCCUAAAAUGACUACUACCAGAUCCUAUUCUACUUUGAUGGAAGGAAGGUUUAGCAUAGGAAUCAUGAGUUACCUAAGAAGGAGGAAGGAUGCCACUGAGUGGGAAAGGAGACUUGGUGGUGUCAUCACACUCCUGCCAAGGACUGGGCGUGUAUGCUUUCUCUUGUUUGGAAACAGACAGAAGCUGUAAGAGCAAAGAUUCAUUGGGUGAAGACACAGGGUAUUGCCAUACUGUAGGGACAUUGCCAUUGAGUUGCACGAUUCAUACCAAUACAUGAUUUGGCUUUUUUCUUUGCUAUUGUAUUAAUAUUAAUGGUAUCAUAAAGAGAGCUUUAUUCCAGGAGGACUUAUUAAUUCAGUGUGGCGGUAUGAAGAACUGAAAACCUCUUCUUCCCUUCUCUUUCUGCCAGAGGAUUGUUUCGGAAUAAAAAAAGAAUCUAAAAUGAGCCAAUGUCACGCCAUGCUGUGAGUUACUAAGUCAUUGACAAUAGCAGUGAGCACCACUCCAGUUAUAAAAGAUAUUAAAAAUAUUAACAUAUGGAAGAACUUACUUCGCUGAUUCUCUGUUCCUUGAUUUCCUCAUUUCUAAAAUGUGAUUACAUUUUGUAAAUUGUGAAACCUUUAAACAUAUGUAUUAAUGAUAAUUAACUUAUUUAACAUUAGUAAUCAUAACAUGGAAACUUAGUGGAAUGAGAACGUUAAGGCAGUUACUGGAAUAAUGAAUCCCCUCCUAUACUAUACAUACCUACUAUGUGCAGGAUAUGUGGAAAUAAACAAGCAUAUGUACAGUUUAUAUUGAAUUUAUAUUGAAACAGUCAUAAGAACAGGGGGCAUCAGUCCACAGGAAACUCAAAGCUCUCAGAUGAGGUUUGGCCACAUAAAUUGACUUUCUCUUGAGCCUUGCCAAGAGUUUGGGAAAUCAACUUAGGGGAAAACUAAGGGAGGGUUUCUCUGAUUUGUUGUCAUUAAAAUAAACUUUUAAUUGGUUGUAAGUGUUCAAUUGGAUAUAAUUGGCAUCAAGUAAAAUCCUAGAGAAUAGCAUUUCAUUAACUGUAAGUUGUAGUUUUGUAUCAUACAAUGAAAUUGCUCAAUUUGGAAAGGGGGUAAGAGUUGAAAUGUAUGAAUGGCAAAUUGUCUCUUCCUAUAUGAGUGGUGCUUGGUGACCGUUUGAGGAUGAACAGAGGAUGGAGGCCAAAGAUCCUUGCAGCAGUUUGUCCUUGCCUGGUCUGAAUCAAUGUUGAGCUGUGAAUCACGAGGAAAGUAAGACUGUCCCCAAAUGAGGUAACUGAGGGGGCUCCCGGAGAAGGGAACGUGAAAGGCAUUAUGAAUCAAGAUAUUCUUAAUCUUUUCAUAAAAUUCAUCAGAGCAAUUGGAUAGUCCAUUAGAAGUUGGCAUGUCACCAGCCACAUCGAGACAUUCAGAGAGGCUGCUGCCAUCAGUCACCAAGGACAUUCUGUCCUAGACUUUGUAAGCCAACACCACGGAGUAAUGGUAAUGUUCGAGGCUGAGUAUGCCGGCGGGAUGAUGACACAAGUUCUGCCCAGUGCUGGUCGUGAGAGUUUCUGUGCACCGUAUCCUAGGUGGUGCUAGACAGGAGAUACCUAGAGGUCAUUGUGUGCAAUCUCCUCAUUUCAUUCACGAGGAUACUGGCAAACCGACUCGCCCGAAGUCGCGCAGCAAAUCUCCUGUUUCUUAGUCUACUGAUCUUCUUACCAUAAGAAAUGGUUCACCUUGACUCUUGCAUGCAUUCCUUAAACACACCGCAUAAGUUAUUUGAACCAUAUGCCUAUAUGUAAGGAAAAUCAAUACGCAAGGAAACUCAUUGCAACCACUGUGGCUGUAUAAUAGCACUUUUCUGAGGUUGCCGUGCUGGUCAUAACCAAAGCAAUAGCAGCUUUAUAGAUGAGACCGGUGGUCAUGGCCAAUACUGUUCUACCACAUGCAUUCUUUUCUGUUUACAGCACACCACCUGGGAGGUUUCGAAUCAUAAUUCCAGCCAAAGAGACAUGCCGAGGUCUCUCGCCGGUCACUUCUAAUCUGGUCGUAUCAAAGGUCGCACAAUAUUGCCUAGGCGUUCGUUCAUUCGGUACCCUCCCAGUGGGAAAGAAGAAUAAGCACUGCCUGAGGACAUUUUGUUUCUUGAACGCGUUCCUCCUAUGCCAACAGCCGUGGUGGUCCGGUGGGCUCCUGCGCUAAAGGUAAAGAAGACCCACAGUGAUGUCUUCUUGGCAGAGAAGCUGCUACUACCUUUCUUAUGUGCACUUUCCACUCCCACAUGGUCUCCCUCUUGGGCCUCCUGUGAUUGCCCCCCUCCCCGUCCCUCUCCCACCCACUAGCCCUGAAAGGUGUCUGUUGUAUUACGCAAGUCCUCAGUGGCACAGCAAUCUGGAUCUAGUUCCCAGACAGCUGCUUUGAUUCAGGAAAUGCUUGUCAGAACACAGAUACAGCUUAAAGCUGUGUGGGAUGAAUGGAUUACAGGAACAAGCCUUGUGUUCAUUUGCCAAGUUCACGUCCAUAGGCAUGGAAUAUUUUCAAGCAUGUGUUGACUCUUGGCGAUGUAUGUUAGUUACAUGUUGUAACUCACGAAGGCUUCCUCCCUUCCUUGUAACACCUCAUUUGUCGAACUUUGGUAAGAGAUGAGCUAUUUCACAUGUGUGAGUUAUUCAGGUAGGUGGAUGCUACCUUUUAAGUACCAAAGCUUGCUUUAUUUUGGCCUGUUUCGUGAGUAGAUUGGUUAAAUGAAUUGAGU